GGAGGGCCGCAAGCCUUGGGAAAGACCUUCUGGUGGUGGAGACGAUGAAGAGCCCCCAUUUCCAGAAGAUGUGGGGGAGGCGGAGGGGCCCUGGGACCUCGAGGACAUGACAGAAGAGGGCGUGGAGUGCCUGUCCCCGUCUCACAAUCCAGAAGGCGAAUACCAGAGCAGCCUCCACCUUUGUGCUCUCAUGAAGCUGGUGAAGGAGAUCCCCGAGUUCCUCUACGGACACGCAGGACCCCCC